rnacentral:rRNA from 1 species
CGCGAAUUCGCCCUUGGAUCCAGACUUUGAUUCUGGCUCAGGAUGAACGCUAGCUACAGGCUUAACACAUGCAAGUCGAGGGGAAACGACAUCGAAAGCUUGCUUUUGAUGGGCGUCGACCGGCGCACGGGUGGAGUAACGCGUAUCCAACCUGCCCACCACUUGGGGAUAACCUUGCGAAAGUAAGACUAAUACCCAAUGACGUCUCUAGAAGACAUCUGAAAGAGAUUAAAGAUUUAUCGGUGAUGGAUGGGGAUGCGUCUGAUUAGCUUGUUGGCGGGGUAACGGCCCACCAAGGCAACGAUCAGUAGGAGUUCUGAGAGGAAGGUCCCCCACAUUGGAACUGAGACACGGUCCAAACUCCUACGGGAGGCAGCAGUGAGGAAUAUUGGUCAAUGGACGAGAGUCUGAACCAGCCAAGUAGCGUGCAGGAUGACGGCCCUAUGGGUUGUAAACUGCUUUUAUAAGGGAAUAAAGUGAGUCUCGUGAGACUUUUUGCAUGUACCUUAUGAAUAAGGACCGGCUAAUUCCGUGCCAGCAGCCGCGGUAAUACGGAAGGUCCGGGCGUUAUCCGGAUUUAUUGGGUUUAAAGGGAGCGUAGGCCGGAGAUUAAGCGUGUUGUGAAAUGUAGACGCUCAACGUCUGCACUGCAGCGCGAACUGGUUUCCUUGAGUACGCACAAAGUGGGCGGAAUUCGUGGUGUAGCGGUGAAAUGCUUAGAUAUCACGAAGAACUCCGAUUGCGAAGGCAGCUCACUGGAGCGCAACUGACGCUGAAGCUCGAAAGUGCGGGUAUCGAACAGGAUUAGAUACCCUGGUAGUCCGCACGGUAAACGAUGGAUGCCCGCUGUUGGUCUGAAUAGGUCAGCGGCCAAGCGAAAGCAUUAAGCAUCCCACCUGGGGAGUACGCCGGCAACGGUGAAACUCAAAUGAAUUGACGG